GUGCUUUCACCGGUGAAGUCAGGUCCUCAUACAUUUUCUGUUUUAAUUUUUGUCAGUUUUCACAAAUCAGUUUAUUUGUUCUCGUUGGUUUGCUGGUGGAUCCAGAGUAAAUGCACUCUGAGUUAGGAAUUUUUCUUUUUCUUUCUUAAAAAAGAACAGGAAGUAGAAUUUUAACUAUUAAUGUGUGCAGUGAGGCACGACUUAGUUUAAAAAGACGCAACUUAAAUUACUCAAACCAAUCCAACAACUCAAGUUGAUUUUGAAGGGAAUUAAUUAAUUCAGUUUUUUCAUGUCUUAUAUGCCUUUGGAUUCUAUUUCUUAUUUGUUAAUGUUCAGUUCUUUUGUUUGGCGCUCUGAACCGUU
rnacentral:misc_RNA from 1 species